ensembl:lncRNA uncharacterized LOC109097135
UCAAAUUACACAGCCGUACCAGCCUGCACCGGGAACGAGGGAGAGAUAGAAAUCUGAGAAAAACAGAGGACAGGACUGAGAAGGGGAUGAAGACAGUGAAACGAGAGGGAGGCUGAAACAGUUGAGGAAGUGAGUCGCCAAUGAGAAAGGACUUUGAUGGACAGAAAGAGACAACGCAGGCUGGCUUUUGAUGGAUGGAGACACGGGUAAACCCAUCCAUCUUCCCACCGGAGACGGCAAAGAAAGGAAAGGAGCUUAAGGAGCAGAGGAGAAGCGUGCUAGACUACUUUUCCGAGAGAUCUGUUUGUAUAAAUCCAAGAAAUCUCUGUCCUGUGGAGAUUGCAAGAGACAGGGAAAGAGGAUUGAGAGGAGCUCCGCUGUGGAAGCAGUACCGUUAAGGUCGGGUGGCACAUCACACAUGGAGGAACUGUUGGCCUGCUGUGUCCAUUUUCCAUAUCUGUGCUUGACGGAGGGGAAAACUGUGCUUGCUGGAAGUAAAUCCCAAGAAAUCCACAUUCAAUUACAUUAGUCUAAAGCACUCAUUUUCCAAAACAGCAUGCGCUAAAACCAUUACAAUUUGUCCCACCAGAAACAGCGUUCCUAAAGUCGAGAUCGCCAAAAAGCACAAAAGUUCAUACAAUUAUAUACAAUUUCUUUCUUUUCCAGUGCAAACUGUACCUCAAAUAAUGUACAGAAUAGUGCUUAUGGUUAACAUGUAGAAGUCAAUGACAAAUACAAGAGUUCACAAAAAAGAAAAUGACCUAGAAAUAUACUCUUUGUGUUCCUGUUGUUUUCAUACAUGCUUUUCAAGGACAGCUUAAAUGUAAUGGCUCUGAUGUCAGCUUCAAUAAAAAAGGGUAAUAACAUAUUUUCCUCA